UUAUGCAGGGGCGCGAACCACAUCUCUGUGAAUCCUCCCUGCCGUGGUGCACCCCUCCAUCAAUUCCAGUAGUCUCCUCCUUCCCAUUGCUGUGUCAAUCACUAAGCCGCUCAUCCUCCCUCUAAUAGUGGUUAGAAACUUAGGUUUGCUAAGCCCUCUACUUUUUGGUUUCAAUUUUCAAUUUAGCUCAGAUUGAUCUUCUUCUUCUUGAAUUGGGUAUAUACAAUCAAGAAUCAUAUUCUUAGUUUGUUAUCUUCCUCGUGCAAACACAAAAAUGGCAAAGGCACGAAACACACCUCCGCGUGCAAAUCCUUGCCGCCAUUCCUUUCCGCCUGUCAGUACCAGCUCAUCGCGCUUUCCAUUACCAGGGGGUCCAUCACCGAUCAGCUUCUUCAUUUAGAUUACUGGUAUGUACAAAACCCCUCUUUCAGUUUUGUUUGUUUUUCUUUUGGAUUCAGAAUUCAAAUUGGUCCACAUAAUCCUGUUCUUCUUGAUUUGGUAUCAAUUUACUAUUUUGUUUUGUGUUAGUGAUAGGGACUUGACAUACCAAUAGUUAGUGAUAAGUUUAUCGCAUACCAAUAGUUAUUGAUUUAUUUAUAUAUAAUGAAACUGUGAGUGAGAUCAUAAUUCAUAUCUUUUCCUUUUUGUUGAUUAAACUACUCAGGCCAAUGUUCUUUAUGCCUCUAUCUUUUACAUUGAAGUCUGUGCUUCUUCACAUAUCUAUGAUCUAUCUAACUAUUUGUAUGCUAAUGUGAUAGGUGAUUCAAAAAAAAAUGACAUUGAUUCACCAAUUUUUUAGACCAAGAGACACACAAGUUUUCACAUAUAUGCAAACAUCUUAUUUAUUUAAGAACACAACAUUAGUUUGUGCGGAAUUCUUACAUUGUAUAUUACCUGAAUCACAUGACUUUAAGAACACAGCAUCAAUUUUGUUUUAAUGAUAGGUUUAUGUGAGUAAUUAAAGUUAAAACUUAUUGAUUAAUUAGGGUGACAGUAAAAGAUAAGUCAUGUCAGUGUAAAGAUUAUGCACAUGUAAAUUGUUAGUUAAAAUUUAAAAAAAAAAUAGAAUUGGUUUGUUCAUUGAUGAGAUAUGAUGACAGUGGCAGGUAAUAUAACUAAUUUUCAAAGACAGUAAUUAUAUGCUUUCAUCUCAUAACUAGAUAACCACUAGGAACCUCUAAUUUCUCUGUCUUUCUCUUAUUUCGAUUUGCUUCCCUUCAGAAUUCACAAUCACAUUCACAUUCAAACACUCCCUUCUUCACCCCAAAUAUCAAUUCAUUCAUUUUUUCAUGAAUGAACUAAUUAAUUAGUUUUUCCUUUUCACCUUUGAAAUCUCUUUGCUGUGGUGGUGGUGGACGCUCCCUCAGGAACUGAAUGCUUUGCUGAUUCAUCUCUUGUCUUGUUUGUAAGCUCUUGCAUCAAUGCCACUUUAAAGUUUGAUUCUUUCCUUUAAUGGGAUGGGACCUUAUUCCUUACAUUUUAUUUUAGCUCAAAUUUAGGAUAGAUAGAUGAUUGUACAUGCAAUCAAGCCUUGGAAAUAGGAACAGUGUGUAUGAAUUUAUUUGUUCAAAAAGACUGCUCUUUCAGCAUCAAAUAUAUAUUAUAUAUAUCAAUAGUGAUAUUAUAUUACACUACAUUUUAUGUGGCGUAGUUGCCAACAGGUAAUGGA
rnacentral:lncRNA from 1 species